rnacentral:rRNA from 1 species
GACGAACGCUGGCGGCGUGCUUAACACAUGCAAGUCGAACGAAGUGGCGAACGGGUGAGUAACGCGUAAUCAACCUGCCCUUCAGAGGGGGAAAACAGAUGGAAACGACAGCUAAUAACGCAUACUGAAGGAGGGGAUUGCGUCUGAUUAGCUAUGAGGAGGGGUAACGGCCCACCAAGGCGAUGAACAGUAGCCGGGCUGAGAGGAGGAACGGCCACAUUGGGACUGGGACACGGCCCAGACUCCUACGGGAGGCAGCAGUGGGGAAUCUUCCGCAAUGGACGAAAGUCUGACGGAGCAACGCCGCGUGAGGGAUGACGGCCUUCGGGUUGUAAAGCUCUGUUAAUCGGGACGCGGUACCGGAAUAGAAAGCCACGGCUAACUACGUGCCAGCAGCCGCGGUAAUAC